rnacentral:rRNA from 1 species
AUGGCCUCAGAGCUAGGGUUAGCGCCGCCGGCGAAACGCCCGACACCGUCCCCCACCACGAUUACCGCUAUCGGAGACGACCUCCUCCUCGAGAUCUUCCUCCGCCUCCCCUCCCUCCCGAGCCUCGUCCGCGCCGCCCUCGCCUGCCGCACCUUCCUCGACGCGGUCCGUUCGUCCCCCGCCUUCCGCCGCCGCUUCCGCGCGCUCCACCAGCCCCAGCUCCUCGGAUUCUUCAUCGACUCCUGCCGUAGCAAUCCCUUCGUCCCGUUCCGCAGCCGCUCCGACCCGGACCUCGCCGCCGCCGUCCGCGGCGCCGAUUUCCUCCUCACCCGCCUCCCGGAGGACAGCGAUUCCUCCCCCGGAUGGCACAUAGAGACCUGCUACGGUGGCUGCGUCGUCCUCGUCAACCUGUCUACAUACCAGGUCGCUGCUUACAACCCCCUUACGCAGGCACUGCAUCUCUUCCCCUUUCCGACCACCAACGGGAUCCUCGUCAACGCCUUGCCUGAGUUCAUUUUCUUAUCCGAAGAGGACCAGGAGGCCCGUAUGAUCUGUGUCCAACACCGGAACAAGCCGGAGCAAGUGCCGGCGCGUCUAGCUGUUUUCUCACCGGCCACCAGGGAGUGGCAGAUCUUGCCGUGGGUGGAGACCCCCCAGCCAUCUCAACCUGAGGACGAUGAAGACAGCGAUCCCCCGUUUCUCCCUGGUACACAGCUGAAAGGAUUCGUUUAUUGGAGACACGCGAGUAAAGCUUAUGUACUCGUUCUCAACACUGCAACAAUGCAAUUCUCCAGAGUGGAUUUGCCGCCAUUCUUAGAGAUGGACCCUACGCUGUUAAGUGUGAGUUUGGGUCAUAGCAAGGAUGGAAAGCUCUGCCUGGCUGUCAUAGAGACAGAAACGCUUAUUGUUUGGCUUUGGAGAGCUGAUGAUGAUGGUGUUGAGAAAUGGAUGCAGGAAGGUACUUUUCCGCUGAGUACAUUUGUGGAUGACACUAAGAUUUCAGCAGAGGAUUAUACCACAGUGCAGAUCGAGGAUGUCAUUGAGGGCUUUGUGUACGUGUCUACUAAGUAUGAUGGGUACACCGAGUCCCUCCAUUCCCUCUGCCUGGAAACAGCAAAGCUGAACAAGCUUUUUGAUAAUAAGUAUACAAACACUGCUCAUCCUUACAUCAUGGCGUGGCCUCCUUCUUUGGUAGGCAACAAGGAAGAUUUAGAAAACAAAGUUACCGGAGAGAAUGUGGCGAAUGAUGGUCCAGCGGGCCCAGAAGAAGCUCCCUCUGUUCUUGUCACAGCAUUGCGGUCAUAUAAAGAAGCUCUUAUUAAUGAUGAUGGGGCAAAAGUUGCGGAGAUAGAGUCAUUUCUACUUUCUAUUGAGGAUGAGAAAAAGUCUCUAGCAGCACAGUUGACAACUGCGAGAGAUUGUAUCUUGAGGAUAAGUGCCGACAUUGAUGGCUACAGAAGAAGGCCAGAAAGAGAGAGUCAGUUUCCUUCUGCUUGGUUUUAUAUCUGA